UGCGAGUCAUUGUAGUAAUACAAGGCAGACGGCUCAGUAACGCGUAGUCACGCCUAACCUAUGGACGGGAAUAACCUCGGGAAACUGAGUAUAAUGCCCGAUAGAACAUUAUACCUGGAAUGGUUUAUGUUCCAAAUGAUUUAUCGCCGUAGGAUGGGACUGCGGCCUAUCAGUUUGUUGGUGAGGUAAUGGCCCACCAAGACUAUUACAGGUACGGGCUCUGAGAGGAGUAGCCCGGAGAUGGGUACUGAGACACGGACCCAGGCCCUAUGGGGCGCAGCAGGCGAGAAAACUUUGCAAUGUGCGAAAGCACGACAAGGUUAAUCCGAGUGGUUUCUGCUAAAGGAACCUUUUGUCGGUCCUAGAACACCGAUGAUAAGGGUGGCAAGUUCUGGUGUCAGCCGCCGCGGUAAACCAGCACCUCAGUGUCAGGAUGAUUAUUGGACUAAGCAUCCGUAGCGGCUUGUAGUUUCGUAAUCUGUACGCUCACGUACAGCUGCGGGAUACUGCAGAGCUAGG
rnacentral:rRNA from 1 species